AUUGAACGCUGGCGGCAGGCCUAACACAUGCAAGUCGAACGGAGUGGCGGACGGGUGAGUAAUACCUAGGAAUCUGCCUGAUAGUGGGGGAUAACGUUCGGACACGGACGCUAAUACCGCAUAGUAGCAGAUGAGCCUAGGUGGGAUUAGCUAGUGGGUGAGGUAAUGGCUCACCAAGGCGACGAUCCGGACGUGGUCUGAGAGGAUGAUCAGUCAAACUGGAACGGAGACACGGUCCAGACUCCUACGGGAGGCAGCAGUGGGGAAUAUUGGACAAUGGGCGAAAGCCUGAUCCAGCCAUGCCGCGUGUGUGAAGAAGGUCUUCGGAUUGUAAAGCACUUUAAGUUGGGAGGCGUUACCUACAGAAUAAGCACCGGCUAACUCUGUGCCAGCCGCCGCGGUAAUAC
rnacentral:rRNA from 1 species